rnacentral:rRNA from 1 species
UACGAAGGGGGCUAGCGUUGCUCGGAAUCACUGGGCGUAAAGCGCACGUAGGCGGCUUUUUAAGUCAGGGGUGAAAUCCUGGAGCUCAACUCCAGAACUGCCUUUGAUACUGAGAAGCUUGAGUCCGGGAGAGGUGAGUGGAACUGCGAGUGUAGAGGUGAAAUUCGUAGAUAUUCGCAAGAACACCAGUGGCGAAGGCGGCUCACUGGCCCGGUACUGACGCUGAGAUGCGAAAGCGUGGGGAGCGAACAGG